rnacentral:tRNA from 1 species
GGGAAGGUGGCUCAGCGGUAGAGCACUUGCCUUGCAUGCAUGAGGCCAUGGGUCCAUUCCU